rnacentral:lncRNA from 1 species
GUUAGCUGCUACCAGUUAUAUUUCUGUACGAUUCUUAAUGCAGUUAGCGGUAUUGGUCCCGACAGCUCUCUGCUAACGAGAAAACAAAAAAAUAGGUUUGAGAUGCGGGCAUAGUAAACUUUUUUUCAGAGCUAUGAAUUUUCAUGCGCGUUCAGUUUUUGCCUCUGCCAGAUGAAGUGCUUACUGCCAUCAGCAAUCACGCCACGACAGGCCAAUCAAACGUCGUUUUACUAACAUUACGCGCACUGACUUGGCCUACCCAAUUGGAUUCACUUUCUCAGCGAGUAAUUACGAUCAUCUCGUCUUUUUUCUUAGAUGGUACGAUAUCAAAGAGGACCUUGUGGUCCAUUUAUUAUUCUACGGGAAAGCGAAAAUGAACCUUGGAUAUAGAGAUGUGGUGUUACAAAUUCACGCGGAUACCCUACGGACCCCACUUGAAGAGGGCUGUUCAACUUGGAAGAUUCUGCGAGAGCCAGCAAUCACAUCAAGUAGUUGCGCAUCCAUCAAGCAAGCGACCACCUCUGCCACGAGCUGAAGAUGGGGAUGGUAAAAGAUCUGCGGUCACCAACCAUUUGUAAUAGGGGAAAGUGGCAAAUUCCCUGCCAGGGGACUACUGCCGAUGACGUAAUCUGGCUAGCGAUGGUCAUUGAUAACAGGAUGCUCCUCAUGCAGAUGAAAAACAAUACACCGUGACCACAAUGAAGUACACAAAUCAUAAAGGAUCGAGAAUGAAUCGAUGUACUUCAAACAGGCCACCGUUCCAGUUAGCGUCCUAAUCUACGAGUCACUUCCUAAUAAAAAGGAUACUUUGUUCCUUCUUCCUGCUGCCUCUUAUUUGCUCCGUUUCAAUUUCCUUUAACGCUCGCUUUUCUACAGAAAAGCGGCAUAAUUCGGACAUUUUUCGUCGGUUGCAGCGGACAGGCCGUGUGUGCAGCAUAAACCACGCAUUCAUACACUGUCCGCCUCGGCCUUUGUGGGACCUUUUAGUAUCUCAAGUAUCCAGUGUUGCAUCCUACUUUCUUUCGCAUGAGGCCAGUAGUGCCCUAAACUUUUUCAUUUACAAGAAGAAAAAUGUUAUGCGAUAAUAGCUUUCCGUCUUUUGGCUUAGAUAUAACUGUAGGCAUCCAUCCGUACAAAUGUGUAGGAAAGCAAUUACAUUCCUGUUUACGUCCGCUACCACGACAACGCUCCCAAAAUU